AUUUACAAACAUCUUUACUCAUAGAACAAAACCGAGUCACAUUAGUCAAUACCCACCUAAUUGAGUAUAAGAACAUACCCCCCUCAUUUCAUUUUACACACACACCCUCAAUCCUUCCUCUCUCCCUCUCGGUUGUAUAUCAGACCAACAAACCCCACACACACCCUUGUCUACAUAUUUAUCCUUCAAAAAGAAACCCACACAUAACCUGCUCUCAUCUCUCAAUCUAUACUAUAAUACACACACUUAUGCAAACACAGAGAAUCAAACACACAGACCCACAACACCCCCCUCUCUUCGAGCAGCAAGACGGACCACCACCACUGUUGGGUGGUGGUGAGAGGCGGCGGUGGGGCCAGACGACGAAGAAAGACAGAAGGAGAGAGAGAGCAGGGAAGGUGAGAGAGACAAGUGAGAGAUGGAGACGGCGGAAGUCGCCGGCAGGCCACACCCAUGGCAGACAUGGGUUAUCGACCAUGAUCUCACGACGGUUCGAGCAUGAGAUGGAGACCGAGACGAGAGAGAAACAGAGGAAGAAAACGGAGUCGGCGAGGUGCUAAUGACCGGAAACGCCGCUCACGGCGGCGGUGAGCCUCACCGGUAAAAACCCCCUUUCCUGUUUCAUUCAUCUUUUAUUUCAGAACAUUUAUGUUGAUUGGUGUCGCUGUUAUGUUGUUGAUGAUGAUUCGGCAAUGGUGGUGGUCGACGACUGCUCUGCGCGGUCGGAGCCACACCGACGCCGGAGACACCAGGUGGUGGUGUCACGUGGUUUAGCGACGAUAGUGGAGGAAACCGGCAGAGCCGGUGUCGUUUUUCUGAGCGGCGAUAGCUUCUGCCGACGCAUAUUUUCCGGCAACAGAUUCUCCGGCGCCGCUCGGAUUUGCUAUUUUCCGGUGAGCUCUUUAUUAUCAUACUUCUUUUAUGAUUCUUUCCUUUUCUUUUCCGACGAUGAUAUUGUUGCUGUUGAUAACGAGGAUGAUGGUGAUACGAUGACGGAGGUGCGGCUCCGGUGGGUGUCACGACUGUGGUAAUGUUGUUUCAGGUGGUGGAGAUUAUGCUCAGUGACUAUGUUUUGGUUUAGAGAGGUUCUAGUCAAAACUAUGGUUUGGGUGUUUCAAGCAACGUCUAGGGUUCGGGCCAGUUCAUUGUUCGGGUCGUGACAGAAUCUCGGGUUCGGGCAUCGGGUCGACUCGGUCAAACCGAGUCAACUCAGUCAACCCUGGUCAACAUAGUGAGUCAACUCAGUUGACCCGGUCAACUCAGUCAAAUGGUUCGAUGUUUCGACACGCGAAGACUCGGAAUACUGUAGAAUGCACGCUAGCAAGUCGAGCCUUGGAAACGACAUCAAGAAGUCGUAAAUUAGCUAGCUUUGCACAGGAAUAUUCAGGUGAGUUCAUAACCCCACAUUUUUACAAUUUUAUAAAUGUUUUCGGGGUGGAAAGACAUGCACUUUUUGCAAAGCAUACAAAAAUUAUAUAUUUUUAAACCAUGUUACAAAGAACACAAAUGGUUUACGAAAAGCUUAUGAUUUAUACCGGUUUUCCAAACAAGCGUAUUUUUUUGAAAAUACAAAUACAAGAGUUUAAAAAUACAUGAGUUAUGGUAUGAAAAUAUAAAAAGCACACUUGGUGAGAACGAGUACCAAGUGUGUAGCGAUAUAAGAAUACAAGAAACACACUUGGUGAGAAACGAGUACCAAGUGUAGGUGACAUAAGAAUACGGGAAGCGCGCUUGGUGAGAAACGAGAACCAAGUAGGAUGCGCUAUGAAAAAUGAUGCGAGAAAUCGUGUCACGAAUAGGGUACAGAAGCACCAUUAAUCAACAAUAUACCUAGACCGCAGAACAAAAGGUUAGAUCUAACGGGUGCCGGGCAGCCACACUCUCGGUGAGGGCGAGUAUCGAGUAGUGCUUUUGUGUCUCAGAAUAUACCAAUUAAAUGCCUAAGGUUUGGUGACUUCCUAUGUCGUGCCACAUGUUAAUGGCCUUGCAACCCAUUAACAAUCCUGAUAUUUACAGGAAUACUUUAAUUACAUGAAAUUCAUACCAUACUAAAACUUGAUUAAUACUUGAAGUACGUGGGGUACUCAAGAAGAUUAGAAUUAUACAUAAAGUACUUGGUGUACACAUGAAUACUUGAAUUAUACAUGAAAACUUGAUUUAUACGUGACACAAAGUAUGUUUUCAUUCAGAGUUUCAAGUAACUCGAUAAGAAAAUGAUUUUAAAUACAUUUUCUCAACAAAACAUCAAAAACCGGUUAUUCAAAAAGAUUUAUUUCAAAUCUUUUACAAACAAACAAUGAACUCGCUCAACUUUAUGUUGAUUUUUCGCAUGUUUCUUUCUCAGGUUGCAUUUCUAAGACAAGGCACGGUUGGAAUAGGGGAACCAUGAAGAGUCGAGUACUUAGUGGGCGUUCAACUUCUAAAAGACUUAGAUUGUUUGCUUCCGCUGUGCAAUGAAGAUACCAGUCCAGUCACGCCAAUGCUCUGAUAAAUUUCGGGGUGUGACACCCUUGUGCUUCCUCUCCCUCUCCGACUGAACUUCGAUGACCGGAGUAUAAUCUGCUAACCGACAGGAUAUCCGACGAGAACAGAAAGGGAAACACAUAGAAAGAGAUCGAUUAGAGAGGGAUGGAGGCGUCGGAGGCGGACCGCUGCCGCACACGGCGACGGCAGUGUAGACGAACGACGGAGGGGGCACGGGUGUUCUGACCAACGAGUAUCACCGGUAAAGAAUCGACGGAGUCGUCACUCCGACGCGGCGACGGGAGUCGUUUGUUGUCUCUUUCCAUUCAAUCUCAGUUCAACAGGUGCAGAUCCGGGGUAUGCUUGGUUCGCGGUUCGGGUUACCGAUCUCCGGUGACGGCGACGCCGACAACGGUGAGGUAGUGGUGAUGUUUGGGUUGUUUUUAGACGUGGCUCGGGUUCGGUCAAACCCGGUGUAACUCAGGUUCGGUCUCGGGUCAGCCGGAGUCAUCUCGGAGAAACCCGAGCUCGCCGGGGUUAACGCAACUUGUGGGAGCUUACUUACCGGAGAAUCCAGGCAGAGAUAUACGAGGAUCGACACGGCUCGUGUUCGGGUAAUCAUUUCCCAUUCGUCGUUUUGGAAAUUUCUCCAAAUCCUUACUCGUGUGUUCCUUACUCGUGUGUUAUCUCAAGGAAACUCCAUACACAACCACUGAUUGUGACAGAUGAAUCCAGUAGGAUUGCCUAGAAACGCACUUAAACGUUAUUGCUCGUUGUAUUGUAAUUUACUUUCAAUCCUGUUGUAUUCUGAUUCCAAUACUUGUCAUAAUUCAUUAUUAAUGAAAUGAAAUAUAAUUAUUUUAAUACA